UUGCUUCUGCAUCAUCUGUGCUAAAACUGCAACGACACAGAGACAAUUAGCAUGGCCCCGUGAAAAGGUGGCAUGAAGUCUGGGGAGCAUUCCCGCUUCUCU